rfam:Schistosoma rodhaini strain Burundi genome assembly, scaffold: SROB_scaffold0010289
AUCCAGUUCACUAGUCCCAAAUAGGACGAAACGUUCGUCCUGGAU